rnacentral:rRNA from 1 species
GCCCCGUCCCAAAUAUAGUCAAUGCUCGCAAGAGUGAACUAGCUAACUGAAAUCAUAAAUGUGUCAUUUGUGAUGUCGUAAGGGAAAAUAAUGAUACUACCUUACUAAUAGUGUCGUCUAAAACUGGUGCCAGAAGACUCGGUAAGGCCAGAGACACAAACGUUAAUCAUAUUAAACAGGCGUAAAGGGUUUGUAGGCUGCUUUAAAUAAAAUUAAAGCUAGAAUCUAAUAGAGGUUAAUACAAAUCAUACAAAGAGGAGGGCUUAUAUCCGUAGAUCCUAAGUGGAGAUACUCAUGGCGUAGGCUUUUUAACCAUUAAAGAUUGACGCUGAGAAACGAAGGGGAGGACAGGAAAUAGGAUUAGAUACCCCGGUACCCCUCUCUGUCAACGAUGAAUGGUAACCAUUUGUUUUAAAAUAAGUGGUGAUGUUAACACGUUAACCAUUCCGCCUUGUGAGUACGACUGCAAAGUUAAAAACAAAAAAAUUAGUCGGUCUUGAAGCAAACGAAGUGGAGCAUGUUAUUUAUCAAAAAAACCCCCAAAAUAAA